UAACUCGUUCUUCGAGUCUCGAUGAGGUUGAGAGAGUUUAGAUCAUCAGCUCGAGUUAGAGGUCGAGUCGAAGACUGGCAUGGAUUUCAAUUCGACUUUGGAAACGGAGACGUCCUCUUGUACUCUGCAUAAAAGGGAGGUCUCUGUCGUCUGAUUCAGCACCUGUUCUCCUAAGCGAAGAAUCUGAGGCUUCUCACCUGCGUAGAGAAAGAAAUUGGGUUCAAAUCUUGUUCCGGUGGUUGAUCGAUUUAAUUCGCAUGCAAGAGCAAAAGCUGGGGUGACUCUCCAAUCUGGCCUGAAUUGUUCCUCCACCAAGCUUUUCACCGCCAAGACAUCAUUUUGUUUGAUAUUUAGCUUGGUGUGUUUUUCUUUGGGUUUUGUAUGGCUUGUUUGGAAAUAGUGUGAGGCCAUUUUAUUAUCAUGGUGAAUAGAAAGACAGAAGGCUGGAAAGCUCUUUGGUGGUGGCUGAUAUUGUCGAUUUUGUAAGAGAGUGAAUGUGGCGUCUUGUGCAGAUUUUAGCAUUGGAACUCGACCGUUCCUGAACGACCAUAUGUUCCAACGCUUGAAAACCGCAGCAGCCAAGUGCGUUAAGACUCGGGCCGUUCAUGAACAACCAUAUAUGUCUUAACGCAGGAGCAGAUCACUGUGAAGGUUGGCCGUUCAUGAACGACCAUGUAUUUCUCGGUAGCUUGAGAGAACUUCAACAAAAGAAGGAAGGUUGUUGAUAAACAGCCUAUCUUUUGUUGACAGCAAGCAAUCUGGACGGUAUAUUUCCCUGCCAAAGAAGACGAGAAUAGCAUGGAUGCGUUGUAUACCUGAGCUUCAGCUUGACUUGAUUUCACUCUCUGUUUUGGCGGAUCUGCUUUGAUUUCACUCUCUGUUUUGGCAGAGCUUUAGCUUUUUGCUUGCUCAAUAUUUCUCUCUCCCCCUGUAGUGUUUUUUUCCUCCUCCCCUCCUCUCUUCGUUGUAAGCCUUCUUUUAUAGACUUAAUGAUCAGCUGGUUAUGAGGAUUGGUUUAAUUCAAAUUUGAAUCAAUCCUUAUCAAUAUGUGGAUGACUCUCUAAUUCAAAUAAGAUGACCAACCACCGUAAAGCUUGGGGUUACACCAGUCUUCCUCGAAGUUGUUCAAGAUAAUAGAGUCCGAUUUGAUCAUAUUUUAUUUGUAUCUUGAGCUGAUAACAAUUUGAAUUUUUGAAUGGCCUAAGCCACCGAAUUGGUUG